rnacentral:lncRNA from 1 species
AUUUGUCAUAGGUGUAAAAACAAUCACAACCAAAGCUUAAAGCUGUUGGGAUGAGCAGCUGCCUGGGAAUCACGCUCCUUCCUGCUCUUUCCAAAAAGCCAGGUGCCGCCGGCCAGCAUCCCGCUCCCUUUGACCCGCAGUCUGUGCGGGAAGUAGGCCCGGAGUGGUGCCAGCAGGAGGUGGCCUUAGAAAGGCGGAGACCCAAGGAGCAGAGUGAGUCGGCGUCCAGCUCCACCUGAAAGCGCCAUCUUGUCGCCACUUCCCUCAGGAGCAGCAUGCCCAGCCUCUUGCAUAGGAAGAAGUGGUAAGCUAAGGAGAGAAAUGCAGGGUUCCUAGUACACCAAUUUUCCAACUUUUUCAUCUUGGCCCUGCUUUAAAAUGAUGCAUCUACUGUCUUCAUGCCUCAGCACAGCAGAGGGUCACCUGAAUGUGGAAAAGUUGAGUUGGAGCAAAACUGGCACGGCCAUACUGGAUGGACCUCAGCAUGACCAGGACACAUUUCAGCUCAAAUCCCCUGUGCCAAGAACACAUUCUGCCAAGGACCACCACCUCUUCCCACAACUAGAGCUGGCUUACCAGAGCACCGAUGGACUUGGAUACCUGAGAUAUCUGCUUGGGAUCCCACACUUUCAAGGUCUCUCCUCUGGCCUUCUUCUGGUUCUGCGACUCCUUACAGCGCUGGGAGUUGGUGAUGCCAACAGGACAUACGCUCCCAGAGCCUACCUCUCCCAGAUCACUUUAAAAGGCACCCAGGACCCCAGAAUUCUCAUCCUCAAAGGCAUGGAGCUCAGCUCUUGGCCCUCAACAAAUCUCUUCCCCAUAAAGAUCCUUUUGAGAGCUUAGGAUGUCCCCCGGAUGGUUUUGGUUGCAGAUUGUGGUGGUGGAGGGAGCUAUACAAUUUAAUCUAUUGCCAUUAAUUGGAUGCGCUAAUGGCAGAUUGGGUAGUGAUAAUGCCAUAAGAGGUAGUGUGUGAGCCGUGUGCUGCAUCUGUGCUAGCUCAGGUAAGUCAGCACACAGCACCUGCAGCCUCCUCUCACCUCUUCCCUGAGCAGCACCUUUUCACCUGAACAUGCUGAUCCCCUAGUGCUUCAUCUUGACAGCAACUUAACAAGCCCUGGGCAGCUUUUUAAAAUAAAUGACUAUGAUAUUGACUAUGAAUCUACAUAAAAGCCACUUGUUUUUUAGUCAUAAUCUGUGUCUAACUGCAGAAGAAAUUCACACCUUUGAAAAACAAAUAAAAAUGUAAAAAGUGAAAAUUGUUUGUAACCACAA